rnacentral:rRNA from 1 species
UACGAAGGGGGCUAGCGUUGUUCGGAUUUACUGGGCGUAAAGCGCACGUAGGCGGAUCUUUAAGUCAGAGGUGAAAUCCCGGAGCUCAACUUCGGAACUGCCUUUGAUACUGGGGAUCUCGAGUUCGGGAGAGGUGAGUGGAACUGGCGAGUGUAGAGGUGAAAUUCGUAGAUAUUAGGAAGAACACCGGUGGCGAAGGCGGCCCACUG